AUUGAACGCUGGCGGCAGGCCUAACACAUGCAAGUCGAGCGGAGCGGCGGACGGGUGCGUAAUGCCUAGGAAUCUGCCUGGUAGUGGGGGAUAACGUCCGGCAACGGGCGCUAAUACCGCAUACUAUCAGAUGAGCCUAGGUCGGAUUAGCUAGUUGGUGGGGUAAAGGCAUACCAAGGCGACGAUCCGUAACUGGUCUGAGAGGAUGAUCAGUCACACUGGACAUGAGACACGGGCCAGACUCCUACGGGAGGCAGCAGUGGGGAAUAUGGGGCAAUGGGCGAAAGCCUGAUCCAGCCAUGCCGCGUGUGUGAAGAAGUUCUUCGGAUUGUAAAGCACUUUAAGUUGGGAGGCGUUACCAACAGAAGAAGCACCGGCUAACUUCGUGCCAGCAGCCGCGGUAAUUC
rnacentral:rRNA from 1 species